rnacentral:lncRNA from 1 species
CGAGCGCAGAGUUCGUGGGCCAGCACUGCUGGGGGACCCGGCGCACCCUCCGCAGCUGCUGGCCUAGGUGCUAAGCCCCUAACUGCCUGCGGCCCGGCCGCGCCGGCCGGCCCCUCCCAGUACGGGGGCGCCAAGCCUACGCCCACCCGGAACGGUAGCUGGCCCGCAAGCGCCGCGCGCAGCCCGGGUUCCCGCCCGUGCCUCUCCCUCCACACCUCCUCGCAAGCCGAGGGAGCCUAGAGAAGGGCUCCCAUGGUGCAGCGGCGGGCUGAAGGGCUCCUCAAGCGCAGCCAGAAUGGGCGCCGAGGCCGAGGAGGCACCGAGAGCGAGCAAGGACUGCGAGGGCUGCCAUCAUGCUGUCACCUCUCACCAGAUGCCUCCAGAUCACUACAUGGACAUUGAGAUAUUCAAUAUAUGAAGGAAGAAUUUUUACAGCAUUCAGGUAGAAACUGAGAUUUUGCUGGACUAGUCAUGUUGAUCUCGGGACAAAUACAGGAA